AGAGUUUGAUCCUGGCUCAGAAUGAACGCUGGCGGCACGGAUUAGGCAUGCAAGUCGAACGGUUCUUGUUUCUUCGGAUGCAAGGAUAGUGGCGAAAGGGUGAGUAACGCGUGAGCAACUUGCCCCAAGGUUCGGGAUAGCCCCGCGAAAGUGGGAUUAAUACCGGAUGUGGCGUCUCGAUGCAAGUCGGGACUGCUAAAGGCGAAAGUCGCCUUGGGAUGGGCUCGCGUCCUAUUAGCUUGUUGGUGAGGUAAUGGCUCACCAAGGCUACGACAGGUAGGUGGUCUGAGAGGACGGUCACCCACACUGGGACUGAGACACUGCCCAGACUCCUACGGGAGGCUGCAGUCGAGAAUCUUCCGCAAUGCGCGAAAGCGUAACGGAGCGAUGCCGCGUGGAGGAUGAAGGCCUUCGGGUCGUAAACUCCUGUCACCCGGGAUGAAUCAAAUGACAGUACCGGGAGAGGAAGCCACGGCUAACUACGUGCCAGCAGCCGCGGUAAUACGUAGGUGGCGAGCGUUAUUCGGAUUUAUUGGGCGUAAAGGGUCCGCAGGGGGUUUGUCAAGUCUGAUGUGAAAUCCUAAGGCUCAACCUUGGAAUUGCAUUGGAAACUGGCAGACUAGAGGACAGGAGAGGAGAGUGGAAUACCAGGUGUAGCGGUGGAAUGCGUAGAUAUCUGGUAGAACACCAACGGCGAAGGCAGCUCUCUGGACUGUACCUGACCCUCAUGGACGAAAGUAGGGGGAGCGAACAGGAUUAGAUACCCUGGUAGUCCCUACCGUAAACGUUGUACACUAGGUGCAGGGGGAUUGGUCCCCUCUGUGCCCCAGCUAACGCGAUAAGUGUACCGCCUGGGGAGUACGGCGGCAACGCUAAAACUCAAAGGAAUUGACGGGGGCCCGCACAAGCGGUGGAGCAUGUGGCUUAAUUCGAGGCAACGCGAAGAACCUACCUGGGUUUGACAUAUAGCUGCCGACCUGUGAAAGCAGGUUUUCCUUUUCAAGGACGGCUAUACAGGUGCUGCAUGGCUGUCGUCAGCUCGUGUCGUGAGAUGUUCGGUUAAGUCCGGCAACGAGCGCAACCCGUGUCGUCAGUUGCCAUCAGGUAAUGCUGGGAACUCUGGCGAGACUGCCCGUGUCAAGCGGGAGGAAGGCGCGGAUGACGUCAAGUCCGUAUGGCCCUUACAUCCAGGGCUGCACACGUGCUACAAUGGCCGGUACAGUGAGACGCGACGUCGCGAGGCGGAGCAAAUCUCGAAAGCCGGCCCCAGUUCGGAUUGGAGUCUGCAACUCGACUCCAUGAAGUCGGAAUCGCUAGUAAAGGCGUAUCAGCAACGGCGCCUUGAAUACGUUCCCGGGCCUUGUACACACCGCCCGUCACAUCAUGGGAGCUGGGUGCACCCGAAGUCGUUGACCUAACCCGCAAGGGAAGGAGGCGCCGAAGGUGUGACCAGUAACUGGGAUGAAGUCGUAACAAGGUA
rnacentral:rRNA from 1 species